rnacentral:pre_miRNA from 1 species
CGAGGCGGGCGGAUCACAAGGUCAGGAGAUCGAGACCAUGGUGAAACCCCNGGGGUUUCACCAUGGUCUCGAUCUCCUGACCUUGUGAUCCGCCCGCCUCG